rnacentral:rRNA from 1 species
UACGGGGGGGGCAAGCGUUGUUCGGAAUUACUGGGCGUAAAGGGUCUGUAGGUGGCCAACUAAGUCAGACGUGAAAUCCCUCAGCUUAACUGGGGAACUGCGUCUGAUACUGGUUGGCUUGAGUGCAGGAGAGGAAUGCGGAAUUCCAGGUGUAGCGGUGAAAUGCGUAGAUAUCUGGAGGAACACCGGUGGCGAAGGCGGUUCUCUGGGCCUUACCUGACGCUGAGGAGCGAAAGCGUGGGGAGCGAACAGG